rnacentral:misc_RNA from 1 species
CGCAUAUUGCGCCCUUUGGUAUUCCGAAGGGCAUGCCUGUUCGAGCGUCAUUAUCACCCCUCAAGCCCCCGGCUUGGUGUUGGACUUCGUCGCAGACCUCCCCUGCGACGGGCCCCAAAGACAGUGACGCCGUCCCAGAGGGAACCGGUACGAGGAGCUUUCUAGUUAAGCAUGUACCCGGGAAGACUCUGCGGGCGGCGGUCUCCAACCUUUUUUAUUCAAGUGUUGACCUCGGAUCAGGUAGGGAUACCCGCUGAACUUAA